CCUACAAUGAUUAUUGUAGACAUUUAAAAUUCGUUUUUCUAUUGCACUUUGCUUUAUUAAACAAGGAUCUUUAAACAGAAAGGAUGGAGUUACCAGAAAAAAACAUUUCUUCUUGGAAGUCAUGCACCGCCGAUUGCCUUUAUUAUUUGGUAUGGUAGGAAUGGUUGUUAGCUGAGACUUUUAAGGUAAGCAAAAUGUCAUUAUUAAUCCACCUCUAUCAGUUUUCUAGUAUGCUAUUUGUAUAUACAGUAGGCUGUGUUCGAAGUUCGGACAGUUCAAACACAGGCAAAGUAAUAAACAAGGUGAAUAACCAAAGAAUUCCAGAUAAUUAUAGACUUAGUUGUUCAGAUAAUGAGACACAAACAUUAGCCUGUUUAAAUGGAGGAUCUUGCUUUGUUGUAUAUGUAGAAGACAGGAUAGUGCAAUGUGCGUGUUCAAAUAGAUAUAUUGGUAACCGAUGUGAAAUGAUAGACCCGGAAAUCAUAUUUGGUCAAUCACAAACAGAAGAGAAAGAAGACAGAAUAGGAUGGAUUAUAGCUUUUUCAGCAAUAAUGGUCUUACUAUUUAUUGCUGUUGUCUUACUUAUAUAUAUAAAAAGGAAGAUGAUGAAGAAAAAAUACAAAGAGCUUACCAAACUUGUGGUUAAAACAACUAACGUUUAAAAAAGAUUUCACAGAAAAAACAAUAGAUACAGGAACAUCAUCUAUAAAGACAAGAUGUUUACCUUUCAUCCAGCUAAACUGCCAGAAAGUUACAGAAAUGGACUAUCUUAAACAUGCACUGUCAUCUUUUGUAGAUCUGUAAAUGUAUUAAAGCCAUUUUAAUCUA